rnacentral:rRNA from 1 species
GACGAACGCUGGCGGCGUGCUUAACACAUGCAAGUCGAACGGAAGGGCCCUGCUUUUGUGGGGUGCUCGAGUGGCGAACGGGUGAGUAACACGUGAGUAACCUGCCCUUGACUUUGGGAUAGCUUCAGGAAACUGGGGCUAAUACCGGAUAGGAGCUCCUGCUGCAUGGUGGGGGUUGGAAAGUUUCGGCGGUUGGGGAUGGACUCGCGGCUUAUCAGCUUGUUGGUGGGGUAGUGGCUUACCAAGGCUUUGACGGGUAGCCGGCCUGAGAGGGUGACCGGCCACAUUGGGACUGAGAUACGGCCCAGACUCCUACGGGAGGCAGCAGUGGGGAAUAUUGCACAAUGGGCGGAAGCCUGAUGCAGCAACGCCGCGUGCGGGAUGACGGCCUUCGGGUUGUAAACCGCUUUCGCCUGUGACGAAGCGUGAGUGACGGUAAUGGGUAAAGAAGCACCGGCUAACUACGUG